ACGCAUCCUUACUAAACCCCCUGGUUGCAUUUGUGGUCUCUGGGACAAGAAAGGGUGCAAUAUAAACCUUAGAUUCCAAAGCUGAGAGCCAUGUGUCAGUAGCUCUUAGUUAUUUCACCUCUAAGACAAAU